UUUGGGUCUAGCUAGGUAUUCUAAAUCUUUCUUUGCUUUUUCACUUUCUUCUCUGGGAUACCUCGACUUCGUUGGUUUUUCGCCCUCCGUUUUUCUUUAGAUUUUUACCCAUUUUUUAUUCGAUUGGAAAUUGGUUUGGGCUGGUCUAAUCCAGCGUUUCCAGGAAACGGUGCCUUUGAAAAUUUGGGAGUUUCGAUUUCGAAUUUCCAUGCUCUGUGUGUUAAAGUUUUUCUGGCUAAUGAAAUACCCCUGCCAUCGCUCUCCAGUCUAUGCAACGUAUUUUUUCAUUUCAAAAAGGCACUUCUUCAUGAUUGGGUAUUGCUGCGAUGACGACAAGAAGUUGCUGGUGGCGGAGUACAUGCAUCAUGAUACACUUGCCAAACAUCUCUUCAACUGGGAGAAUCAGACCAUUGAGUGGGCUAUGAGACUAUGAGUUGCUCUGAACAUUGCCGAAGUAUUGGAUUACUGCAGUAUUGAAGGCCGCCCAUUGUACCAUGACUUCAAUUCAUAUAUGGUUCUCUUUGAUGAGGUGAUGUCUCCAAUUUCCUUUCCCAAAUUUGUUUAUUUAGUUUUUCAAUUUUUACAAGAAGUGAGAUAAUUUUGAUCACAUAUCAUUGUGGAACAUUUUUUUGAUAAGUAGACAUUUUUUGCUCUGUUAAGACUUUUUAUCUGACAACUACAUGGAUUUAUAUGAGAUCAAAGUGGUAAUUUCAUGGAUGGUGUUGCAAGAAUGGCAAUCCUACGCCUUCGAGUUUUGGGUUGAUGAAAAACAGUAGGGAUGAAAAAAGUAACAGCACUAAUCUUGCACAAGCCUCCUGAAUAUCUAAGAAAUGGUAAUUGCCUAUUUUCCUUAAAUCAUAAUUAUUAUUUAUUAUACCAUAUCUAAGAAUACUUGAGAAUGAUGAGUUGGGAUCAGUGUGCCAAUUAUUGCUAUCAUGUGCUUUACACUAAGACUAAAGUCACAAUGCAUUUUUGAACUCUGCAAAAUGAACUCUAUGCAUUGCAAAUCCAUCAUUAAGACUAAACUCUCAGUGCAAUUAAUAGUGUGACUAGAAAGUGUUAUGUUCAACUUAUGGACUGUCCUUUUGGACUUUCUUUUGUUUUCCUGCUGCUUUCACGCUCGUUUGUUGCUCUUUGAAUUGUUUUGAGGAUACCCAAUUGCCCAAAUUGUUCAAAUUUGGCCCUUCAGUGAGCUUUUACGUAAAUGGGGGUAAGGCUAGCCGACAUUCAUCUCUUCCAGACCCUGCGUAAAGUGGGAGCCUUGUGCACUGGGAAUUGUAAAGGAGAGAGAGGAGUGUUGUGUUUGGAAUAAAGUUUAUUUUUUUGUAUUUAAAUUAUCUAGAUGAGCAAUUGGUGUGUUUUUUCUUCUGCCAGUGAGUAUUUUUGCAUUGUGUGGUUAGUAUUUAUGCAGAAUACCAUAUACAAUGUGUGCAUUUAGUAUUGUUAGCAUAUGUUGUAAAUGGUUAGAUGGCACAUAUGUUAUAUGUAUAUGUGAUAAAUUUAUAUUUACAUUAUCUGGAUGCGGUUGAAUCAAAGCGCAAGGCAAAACAUUGGCUUCACUGGAAGAAAGAAAAAAAAAUCUGCAAAAGGGGAAACUGAAGUGAUGGAAAUUGGAGACAAAAUGAGAAAUUGGAUGCUUUUUAUCAGUGGAUAAGUCAUUACAAGCUAAUCAUACUGGUAAUAGAAAUUACUCUUUGCUUGCAUGCUUUUUAACAUGGAGAGAAAUUGAAUUUGUAUUUUAGAAUUAGCGUUCUUCUUGAUAUUCAACUGUUUUGAAAGGUCUUUUUUGAAAUUGUAUUUCGAAUUAGUGUUCUUUUUUGGUUUCUACUAAUUAGUGUUCUUUUUUAUUUAGAACAAAAGGUCAAUAAUUUCCUUCCUACAUUCCACAUGUAUGCAAGUAGUAUUGCCUAUUGUUAUGUAAGUAGUAUUGCCUAUUGUUAAUGAACAAUGAGACAUCAAUCACAUGUACUAACAUAGUAUUUCA